rnacentral:rRNA from 1 species
AAAGUGGAGCAAUCCAUGAGUAGAGUGGCGAACGGGUGAGUAACACGUGGGUGACCUACCUUCGAAUGGGGGAUAACGUCCCGAAAGGGACGCUAAUACCGCAUAACAUCCUGCUUUUGAACAAGCGGAGAUCAAAGCCGGGGAUCGCAAGACCUGGCGUUUGAAGAGGGGCCCGCGUCUGAUUAGCUAGUUGGUGAGGUAAUGGCCCACCAAGGCAACGAUCAGUAUCCGGCCUGAGAGGGCGGACGGACACACUGGGACUGAGACACGGCCCAGACUCCUACGGGAGGCAGCAGUGGGGAAUUGUUCGCAAUGGGCGCAAGCCUGACGACGCAACGCCGCGUGGAGGAUGAAGGUCUUCGGAUUGUAAACUCCUGUUGCCCGGGACGAAAAGCUUCGACCUAACACGUCGAGGUCUGACGGUACCGGGUGAGGAAGCCCCGGCUAACUCUGUGCCAGCAGCCGCGGUAAUACAGAGGGGGCAAGCGUUGUUCGGAAUUACUGGGCGUAAAGGGCGCGUAGGCGGCCCGCUAAGUCGAACGUGAAAUCCCUGGGCUCAACCCGGGAACUGCGUCCGAUACUGGUGGGCUUGAAUCCGGGAGAGGGAUGCGGAAUUCCAGGUGUAGCGGUGAAAUGCGUAGAUAUCUGGAGGAACACCGGUGGCGAAGGCGGCAUCCUGGACCGGCAUUGACGCUGAGGCGCGAAAGCCAGGGGAGCAAACGGGAUUAGAUACCCCGGUAGUCCUGGCCCUAAACGAUGAAUGCUUGGUGUGGCGGGUAUCGAUCCCUGCCGUGCCGAAGCUAACGCA